rnacentral:lncRNA from 1 species
UGAGGUUUGGGGUAUGAAUCAUGCAGACUAAACAAUUGUUUUAUUGCAUUUACAGAGCACUUGAUUUAUAAUGCAGUCAGUUUGGUAAUAAAAUUCCUCUAUUGUAUAUCCUGAAUAAUUUCACCUCUUUCUGCAUCUCUCUGUUUUAAUUCUUUAUCAGGGUGUUUUAAAAAUGUCCUCAUGGAGGGGAGAUUACUGUUGUGUACAUAUAAAGUUACCUAUCUCAGACCUCAGUUAUAUCAUCACUGAGCAUACAGUGCUCAGCUGAGCCUUUGUCAGCUGCUGAUAUUAAGGACACAUUGAAGAACAGAUUUAUUGGGCUGCUGUCUGCAGUGAGCACACUAGAGGAGAAGUAAGACUGUCCCAUUGCAAGAGGUUUCAUUCUACUUCGUGCUGAACCAAAAGGAAUCGAUCAGUCUUCCAGGAAUGACACUGCCUUGGAAUGCCUCUUGCAGCUUUGCAGGAAGACCAGAGGGGCUGCACCUGGACCUGGGGAUUCCACCUAGGGCAGUAACAACCUUCCUGGGUAUCCUGAGCACGAGGAGACAAAUUUGCAGGGACAGCUGGAGGAGCACAUGGGAUGGUGUGCAGCACAGAGGAGGGAGCCGACAUGAGAAAAGCACCAAGAACAAUGUGAGCAUGACCCAGGACUGCCCACCUCCAGGCUCCUUGCAGCAACAUGCUGCUCCUUCCAGGUGGAGCCACAGCAAGACAACUGUGGGAACACAAUCUCAGACUUCAGCAUCCUCUGUUCCCAACCACUUUGCUACCCAACCUCCGAUGUCCGUUAAGCUCUCCUUUCCUAUGGUCAAGAUGAAGCCUAACGUGGUGGCUGGUUAUCUCAC